UACGUAGGGUGUAAGCGUUAAUCGGAAUUACUGGGCGUAAAGCGUGCGCAGGCGGUUGUGCAAGACAGAUGUGAAAUCCCCGGGCUCAACCUGGGAAUUGCAUUUGUGACUGCACGGCUAGAGUGUGUCAGAGGGGGGUAGAAUUCCACGUGUAGCAGUGAAAUGCGUAGAGAUGUGGAGGAAUACCGAUGGCGAAGGCAGCCCCCUGGGAUAACACUGACGCUCAUGCGCGAAAGCGUGGGGAGCAAACAGG
rnacentral:rRNA from 1 species